rnacentral:lncRNA from 10 species
GUGGGGUUUUCAUGUUUGAGAGACUUUAAUUUAAAAUUGGCUAACAUGGUGUUCCUCAAUUGAAAAGUUUUCUGGCCUGGUAUCAAUAGCAGUAAAGUUAAGUAAUGAGCUGGGUUCUCUUUCUAUGUUUAUCUUUAUAAUCAAUCUUAAUUAUAUUUUGUUUAUUCAUGAUCUCAUGUAACCAAGGGGUAAGAUAUACAAAUCCUUUGCUUUCAGCCCAAUAAUGGAAAUAGUUCUCAAAUAAUGAAUAUUUAUAAUUACGACUUUCCUGGCCCCAUUUUGUAGAAACUAGUCUAGAUCAUUUCCUGUAGCAGAAAGCUUAACCUCAUAAGUAAAGAAGUGAGCCCUGAGCCCCAAAUAUGCCAUGAUUUCUACCAUUAAACUGUUUGGCUGGAAGGCCUUGUAGAGUCAUAGGAAGGACCUGGACUUCAGAGUUAGAUCUGCUGGAUUUGAAUCCCAGCUCUACGACUCACUGACUUUGUGAGUUUGGGCAUGCUGUUUGACCUCUGUAAAAGCCAGUUUCCCUAUCCAUAAAAUGGGGGCAGUGAUACCUAUCUUGUGAGAAUUUAAUUAUCUAGUUUAUGUUAAAUUCCAGACAUUCUCUCAUCAACUAUUGCACUUCUUGUACCUCAAUUCUAUUCUAUACUUUUCUGUGUUCUAUAUUUUAAUUUGUUUUGUCAAUGAACAUUGAACAGGUAGGACACUAUAUGCUUAGAAACAUUUUCCAUAUAACCCCUUAAGUUAAAAGAGAAGAGGCUUGAAGAUACCUAACCCUUCCUAAUUUUAAUAGGUUCCUAAACAUAAUAAUUCUGUUCCCUUCCAUUUGCUGUCAGUUGACUCUUGAAUCUAUAUGCCCAAACCAGACCUCUCCUCUAAAUGCCAGACUCAGUAUAUCCAAUGAUCUCUUUAACAUCUCAAUUGGAUGUAUAAUUGGCACCUCACACUUAAAUAUUCAAAAAGAAACUUCUGCUCUUCCUUUUUAGACCACAGUCCUCCCCAUCUCAACUAAUAGCAACUUCAUCCCUCUGCUGCUCAGGCCUAAAACAUUAGAUUUCUUCUGAAUGCCUCUCUUUCUCUCAUACCCUACAUGUAAUCCACCAACAAGUCCUGUUGGCUCAACUUUCAGCAGAAUCUAAAGCCAUCUCACACCUUCACUGCCAUCCUAAUUUAAGCCACCAUUAUUCUGUCACUCAAUAAUUCUGUCACUGAAUAAUUCUGUCCUAACAGAUCUUUCUGCUUCCAUACUCUGUUCCCAAUCUCUUCCCAACACCACACUCAAAGAAAUCCCUUUAAAGCUUAAUCAUAUCAUGGCCUUCUAAAUGGCUUUCCAUCUUACUCAAGUGAAAGCCAAAGUCAUUACAUACAGCUUUCAAUGUCCUAUUUGAUCUGCACCCUCUGACAUACCCCCCAGUAUGGCUCAUUCUGCUCUAGCUGAUGCUGGGUUUCUAGCCACUUUCUCCAAACUCACCAAGUAUAUUCCUAACUCAGGCUCUUGUACAUACUGUUCCAUCUACCUGAAACAUCUUCCUCAGAUAUGUGCAUGCCUCAGUUUCUCACUUUAUUUCAGAUCUUUACUCAAAUACUCCAUUUCCAAUCAGAACUUCCCUGUCCACUCUAUUUAUAAUUAUACCCUAUUCACCAUCUCUGGAGUCCAUUUCAUAUCUCUUGCUUGCUUCCUUUAUUUUUUUCCCAUAGCCCUCAUCACUAUGUGAAGAUUAUGUGUUUGACUUGUUUGCUUUGUUAUUAGUCUCCUCUCAUUAGAAUGUUAGCUCUACGAGGACAAGGGUAUUUUUUUUUCUAUGCCCCCAUCACAUAUUAGGUGUUCAGUAAACAUUUUUAACAAAUUGAACUGGUGAAUGAAAUCCUCAGGGUUUCUUCCUGGUUCACUCCAUACAUAUUUUACUUGUUCCUUUAUACUUCCCCCCCAGACUUUUUCUUCUAGCCAAAUUAGAAUAACAGAGAACUAAUUUAUACUUACAUCUUAUAAUUAUGGUCACCAAAGAUAUCAAGUUAUAAUCCCUGAACUUGUAAAUGAGAAUUUAUUUGGGAAAGAGGUAUUUGUAGAUGUAAUUAAGUUGAGGAUUUUGAGAUGAAGAGAUUACCCUGGAUUAUCUGGGUAGACCCUUAAUGGAAUUAUAAGUGUCCUUCCAGGAUAGAGGCAAAGGGAGAUAACACAAACACUCAGAGGAAAAGAUGAUGUGAAAACAGAGGCAGAGAUUAAAGUGCAGUGACCUCAAGUCCAAGAGUGCCGAAAAAGCCACCAGAAGCUGGAAGAGUUACAGCAGCCUCUGAGGUGGUGGAGGGUGGCAGCAGGACAGUGAGCUGACGGCCAACCCCUGUGCCCAAGUGUGCUGCUCCGCUCAACUCCAUGUGCACCAGGGAACAGCCAUUCUCUGCAGGCUGAUUUGAUCUGGAACCACAAUUGAGUCUAGUUCUGGAAUCUCAGACACAUGGAGAACUACACCUUGUCUCCAGUUGCUACAAGUCAAGUCCACCUGCAUGCAGACAGCUACAAUUGUCUUGUAAAAUUAGAAAACAGAACAGGGACAACAGUAUUAUCUAUAUUGACUAUAGAUUAAUUAUUCAUUUGCAUUCUUUGUCUUUUGUACUUAUAAAUAUGAAAUUUGUAUAUAAACGUGUGUUUUACAACAUAAGAUACAGAUCUAUAUAUAUGUACCUUUGAAAGAUUAUUCUCUCUGCUCUUUGGCCUAAAUUUCCAAAUGGAAUCAUCCUGUGUACAGUAACCUGUGUCUGAAAAUUUCUGUCCACUUAGAGUAAUGAAGGCAUGGGGUCAUAAUGAGAGCAACAAAAAAGUUACACUUUAUACUGUGAAAGACCGUCACCUUAUUGUUCAUUUACUUAAGUUUUUCAUUUUGUUUUUAUAUUUUGAAAUGUUGAAUAAAAAACUCAAGGCACAUCUCAU